rnacentral:rRNA from 1 species
UACGGAGGGGGCAAGCGUUGUUCGGAAUUACUGGGCGUAAAGGGCGCGCAGGCGGCUGCUCAAGUCAGGCGUGAAAGGCCUGGGCUCAACCCGGGAAUUGCGCUUGAGACUGGGCUGGCUUGAGUGCGGGAGAGGAUGGUGGAAUUCCUGGUGUAGCGGUGAAAUGCGUAGAUAUCAGGAGGAACACCUGUGGCGAAGGCGUCCAUCUGGCCCGUUACUGACGCUGAGGCGCGAAAGCUAGGGGAGCAAACGGG